rnacentral:rRNA from 1 species
UACGAAGGGGGCUAGCGUUGCUCGGAAUGACUGGGCGUAAAGGGCGCGUAGGCGGAUUGCACAGUCAGAUGUGAAAUUCCUGGGCUUAACCUGGGGGCUGCAUUUGAUACGUGUGAUCUAGAGUGAGGAAGAGGGUCGUGGAAUUCCCAGUGUAGAGGUGAAAUUCGUAGAUAUUGGGAAGAACACCGGUGGCGAAGGCGGCGACCUGGUCCUUGACUGACGCUGAGGAGCGAAAGCGUGGGGAGCGAACAGG